UUCGUAGGUGGCAAGCGUUGUCCGGAUUUACUGGGCGUAAAGGAUGCGUAGGUGGAUAUGCAAGUCAGAUGUGAAAUACCCGGGCUUAACUCGGGUGCUGCAUUUGAAACUAUAUAUCUAGAGUGCAGGAGAGGUAAGUGGAAUUCCUAGUGUAGCGGUGAAAUGCGUAGAGAUUAGGAAGAACACCAGUGGCGAAGGCGACUUACUGGACUGUAACUGACACUGAGGCAUGAAAGCGUGGGGAGCAAACAGG
rnacentral:rRNA from 1 species